rnacentral:miRNA from 1 species
AUUAGGUUGGCCAAAAAGUUCGUUCAGGUUUUUCUGUAACAUCUUAUGGAAAAAUCCAAAUGACCUUUUUGGCCAACACAAU